AGUGUUGGCAGCUGUUCUGAGUAUGGAUGAUGUUUGCAACCUGAGCCAGGGAAUGACAAGAGGGUGCUGGUUCAGAGAGUGUUCCCAGAACCAGCGCUGCUUCAGCCGAGGGGAAGGGAGAACUGCAGGCAAACUGCAGCCUUGAGAGACAUGCCGGCACGCUGCUUUAAAGGUCCUGCGAUGAUGACAGAGGUGAGACUGAGACUUUGCAAGCACAUGAGUGGAGAAAGGUAAAGAGAGUCCCUAUUAAGCUCUUCAACAUCAAAGACAACACAGAAGACAACAUCUGUAGGUAGUCCUGCCAAUUCACCUUAACAUUUUCAGCAGAAUAAUCUGAUCUAAUUCAGAGUUGGCUUUACCAGCAGCUGCUCCCUGAACAAUUCAUUGUAGAAGCUGAAAGUUUGUCACACGCUGCAGAGAGACGCAUUGGAAGAUAUUUGUAUUCGUAUCACAGUGUUGAAAAACUCCCCCAAUCAACCUCGCCUUUUGUACUCCUGGCCCUGGCCGCAGCACCGGGUAAGACCCCGGGAGACAAGCUUGCUCCGGCCGCUGAAGGACCAGCAGGCUCUGAGCUACGCUUUGGUACGCAACGUGGCUGCUCGUGAGUUUAACACCUCUGUGUCACUGUAGCCCACGUUCUAGAGUGCCACAGGCAAACAGCUGCCUAUCAGGUCUGAACGAAGCCAUUCUGAUAGAAGAUAGACGACAGCGGCACAGGCAGAAAGCUACCUAAAGAAAAUGAUGAAUUGCAUACAUGACAACUCUCAGCUCCUCACCUCUGCUCCCCCUCCCCUCACUUUCGGUCCGGAAGAGCUCGGGUGGGUCUCGGACAUUACUCUAGCACAAAAAUCACACGACACUCUUAUAUCUGCAUGAUGAGAAAUCACCCUUACAAUGACUGUUUUGACACCAGCCAUUUGGCUUUACCUUUCUGUGCUUGAGAUUUUUUUCUUUUUUUUUUUUUUUUUUAAGAAAAAAAGCUUCUGGUACUACCUCAAGCACUUUCAUUUUUGUGCUGUUAUUUCUUCUGCAACGCUGCUUGACAAAGCCUGCUUGAGCACAAUACCUACUUCUUUGCUAUUUAUUCAACAGAACAACAGAAAAAUUUUAUCCAAGCACAGUAUACUACUAUAUGACGAUUGCUGCACAGUGCUCGGGAGCUAAAAGCGUAGAGGCUUUGUCUUUUAAGUUUGAAUUCUCUUUCUUUCAAAGAUAAAAAUACUUUCAGCUAGAGACAUAUGUGCGGCCCUAAUUCUGCAGGCCCAAAAUAUGUUACAGCAUUGCCCAUCACAUUAAGCCUCAGUGGGAUCUGCCAGAUUUGACUUCAUCUAUUACAGUAAGUACAGCAAACAACAUAAUUCUCUAUGGUCCCUCUUUAAUAAAGCAGGUACAACGCUGGUGUGCUACAAAGCAGGAGCUGCACAUCCAGAUCUCUUCUUUGUGAAUAAGUAACGAUCAGUGCAAAAAUUUGAUUCCGUUUGCCCAAAAUAAUAGUUCUGGGAGAGCGUGUGCAGAACAACAGAUACUGUGCAUCCUGCGGGAGUAAUAUGCAAGCCUAGCUGCUGCUUUUCGGGGAGGAAAGGAGCUAGUUCUUAAAAGUACAGGCUGUGUUAUGUUUUCAAAGAGCCAAGUACAUUUGCAACCAAAAUUAGAAAUCAUCUACGCAAUCCAGUCUUAAAUUUGGAGCACUCGUCUACUUCACAGUCCUCUCAGGAAAGGGGUGGGGGGAAAGAUAACUGAACAAUACCAAAAAAAAAAAAAAGAAAAGAAAAAAAAAAGAAAUAUGGUUGCUUACCACAAAGUCAAUUAUCUGAGUUUGUUACAAAUAAGCAUGGUCAAAAUCCACUUUAGUAUGCUGAAAAUAUAGCAUGGCUAUACCUACCAGAUUUGCUCUUUCUUAAAAUACUGCAGUAAAAAACCCUCAAGAUGAAAAAAUAGGACUGUUUUGAUGAAACACUCUCUCCAUAAUGCAUUUUCUGUUACUAUGCAACUGAAUUUUUUUUUAAACAGCACCUGCACCUGGGCAUGUACAUUAAGACUAUAAAAUAUAUGUAUAUUUAUAUUUAUACACACAUACACACAAACACAGAGUACCCACAGAAUUAACAGAAGUGAGAAUCUGAGUUGUAGAAGUCUACAGUUGGUGAGAAAAUCAUGAAAUGCCUCGACUGUGUUGGAAUGUGAGGCAUGCACGGCUCCACCAUGGCAAAAUUAAAAGGAAAUUAAACAGACA